GAAAAAAGCUCUGGAACCUUCAUUACUGUAGCUUGUGUUUCUUCUCAGCGAGUACCCUUUGUGGUUGAACGUCCGCCCUAAUCUGAUCCCAAGUGGCGGUUUCUCUUUCAUCUUUAUUGCUAUGCUACUAUUUAGUGUUUACUUCUCUAAUUAUUUCGCUAUCUGUAGCCUAAUCCUCUCCUCUGUUAUAUCUAUUUCUGUCCUUCCACUUAUUUUAUUUCUUUCCCCAUAAAGAGUUUCGAACCUCUAUCUCUUUCUCUCACUCAUCUCCACUAUUUACUGUCGUUUUUGCUACUCCUUACAAUUUCAUCAUUAUCUGAAUAUUAGAAGCCUACUAAUCUAUUUCAAUGGAUUUUGGUGAUGAUUUCUCAGAUCUGAUGGAGAAGGAGGGACUUUCGGUGUUUAAUGGCAUAUUGGAUAGUUGGAUUUUUGGGGUAAGAGUAAAGAGAAGCUUGGUUAGCCAUGAGUUGGAGAGAAGUAGGGGUGGUGUGUACAUAUGCAGUCUGCUUAACCGCCACACCCGAGAUAUCACAGAGGAACUAGGGUUGGACUCUGUUUUGCCGCUUAGGUCGACUUAUUUUGUAAUCCUUGAGUUGUAAACUAAUUUUAGACUUCUAUUUUUGGAUCCCAUGUAAAGACUAAAUUUUUUAAUGGAAAUGUUUAUUCCUUUGACCAAAA